GCCUGGGUGGCUGGGUCGGUUAAGCGUCCGACUUCGACUCAGGUCAUGAUCUCACGGUCCGUGAGUUCGAGCCCCACGUCAGGCU
rnacentral:tRNA from 1 species